rnacentral:tRNA from 1 species
CGGGACGUGGCGCAGCCUGGUAGCGCACUUGAAUGGGGUUCAAGGGGUCGCGGGUUCGAAUCCCGCCGUCCCGA